AAAAUCAUUACAUAAUCAUUCUUUAAGUAGUAGAGGCCCUUAAACGUUGUCAUUAUACCUUCCAAGUCAUAAUGGACUUAUGUCAAUAUGGAUAGUGUUAGUAGGUCAUAUGCUCUCAUGGAUACAACAUGUGCGCUACUCACCUUCAUGGUCUAAAAGUAAAGUCAAAAGGACAUUUGAGAACAGCGUGUGAGACUUGUUAUUUAAUAUACUAGGCUAGUUGUGUACAUUAAUGCAGUGUAACCAUAUCACCAUCCUCUAUUCCCCUUGUCCGCCUGACCUUUCUCCAGACUCUAUACCCAAUGUAUCUAUGUAACUAUCCAUAUUAUCUUUUAAAAUUCACAUAAAAUUUACUUUCUUAUAUUUUAUACUUUAUUUCAAAUCUCAAUAUCAUAUUUCAUCUUCCAAUCAUUCUUCCACAUUUAUUUUUCAUACAAACCUUGCAACUAAAAUUUAUUAACAAAACUUUUGACAGCAUAAUGACUACAUUUUGAAUAUCCCAUAAUUUUAAAAUAGUCUAAAUUUUAAGAUAACAAAUACAAUUUAUCCUAAUAAAUAUUUAAUAUCAAAUUAUCAAGGUACUGAAAAUUUGACAUAAUUGGAUUUUUUUUUUUUAUCAAAUUACACUACAAUUUUCUAAUUCAAAAUACAUAUUCUAGUAUAUUGUGUAUAGAUUUAAACCUUUCACGCAUUGUUUGACUUAAAACAAUAAACAAGGUUGUUGUCCAGAAAAAACAGUAUCAAUACAAAAUAUUAAAAUCAACAACUAGAAAAACUUAAUUCCCACAUAUGAAUUUGAAGUAAACCAACAAACUUAUUUUAUUUAUAAUUUUUUCAACAAACCUUCAAAUAAGGUGGUUUUCAAACCUAUCCCUAAGUUUGUAUACAUAAGAAAUCCAUUUCUGAACUCAAAAUUAGGCAAAUUGUAUACUUGGAGAAAAAUUUGUCAAAAUAGCUAGUGAUUCGGAUUGACCCACUUACCUUAAUGAAGUAUCAAAGUGAUAGUACUCUAAGAUUGAAAUGGAAGGAUCAAAGUGAUAUAUGCCCUUAUUUAAGUUACCCCUAAAAAAUUGUUAAAAGAGAGAAAAUAAUAGUUUAUAGAGUAGGACUUAAGAAGAAUAUGAAGGAAUAAAUCAUAACUCUAACUUUAGUUGAAUAAAAUUAUAUGACUAAGAAUUUAAAUAAAUAAGAAAGGAAGAGAAGAUAGGAGGAAAAGAAAGCUUCAGUUGGGUAUUUCUUUC
rnacentral:lncRNA from 1 species